CCUCGGAGUAAGAGGGCCACCUGCCCGAGA
rnacentral:sRNA from 1 species